CCUCCCCGUCGCGCCUCCGCCGCCCGGCUCCCUCCCCGAGCGCGACGCCGCCGCCCUGCUCCCUCCUCCAGUGCGCCGCCGCCGCCCGGCUCCCUCCCCCAGCGCGCCGCCGAUCGGCCCCUCCCCAUGCGAGCUGCGGACUGCCCCAUCUACCCUAGCGUGCCACCACUGGCCCCCUCACCCAGCGCGUCGUCGAGCGCCCCCUGGAUGCCGCAACUCUGGCUGCACCAUCAUGGUGGAGGCGCGGCGCCGUCUUUGAGAUGCUCCAUCAGUUGCUCCUCCUCCUCCUGUUACGCACAAGCUCCAAUUCGUCGAGAUACUCCAUGGAGGAAUUGAGGCUUCGCCAAGGAACAAGACUGGUAACUAGCGCAAAGGAGAAUAUGUCGAGAGGUGGCACUGCUAGACUUGCUGAUGUGUAGUUAUGGCUUAAAAAAGAUGAAAAAAAUUGUAUCUUGUAUGAUUCCAUAAGCUGUACAUAGCAAAUCUUCCCAUGUGGAUCAGUACAACUUAUGUACGGCCUUGAGUUCACAAAUCUUAUAGUAAUCUUUGUAGUACUUUUCGUAACACUAAGUAAAGCAAGAGUAGCCCUUUUUU